AGUGAACGCUGGCGGUAGGCCUAACACAUGCAAGUCGAACGGCAGCACAGUAAGAGCUUGCUCUUACGGGUGGCGAGUGGCGGACGGGUGGGGAAUACAUCGGAAUCUACUUUUUCGUGGGGAUAACGUAGGGAAACUUACGCUAAUACCGCAUACGACCUACGGGUGAAAGCAGGGGAUCUUCGGACCUUGCGCGAUUGAAUGAGCCGAUGUCGGAUUAGCUAGUUGGCGGGGUAAAGGCCCACCAAGGCGACGAUCCGUAGCUGGUCUGAGAGGAUGAUCAGCCACACUGGAACUGAGACACGGUCCAGACUCCUACGGGAGGCAGCAGUGGGGAAUAUUGGACAAUGGGCGCAAGCCUGAUCCAGCCAUACCGCGUGGGUGAAGAAGGCCUUCGGGUUGUAAAGCCCUUUUGUUGGGAAAGAAAAGCAGCAGGUUAAUACCCCGCUGUUCUGACGGUACCCAAAGAAUAAGCACCGGCUAACUUCGUG
rnacentral:rRNA from 1 species